UGUUAAAAAGUUUGUUCAUUUAUACUGUUAAAAACUGGUGCGUCUAACAAAAUAACCGGACAGUAACAUAUAACAUGUCAUAGUACAUCAUGCUAAUGUACAAUGAUCAAUUUUUAACAGUAGAAAUGAAAUGAAUUUUUUUACA
rfam:Gossypium hirsutum cultivar TM-1 chromosome 15, whole genome shotgun sequence